rnacentral:rRNA from 1 species
AACGUAGGUGGCAAGCGUUAUCCGGAAUUACUGGGCGUAAAGGGUGUGCAGGCGGGGAAUCAAGUGGGGGAUGAAAUAUCCCAGCUUAACUGGGAGGGGUUAUGCCAGACUGCUUUUCUAGAGGACGAGAGAGGGGGGUGGAAUUCCGGGUGUAGUGGUGAAAUGCGUAGAGAUCCGGAGGAACCCCAGAGGCGAAGGCGGCCCCCUGGCUCGUACCUGACGCUCAGCCACGAAAGCAUGGGGAGCGAACGGG